rnacentral:rRNA from 2 species
GAACUGAAGAGUUUGAUCCUGGCUCAGAUUGAACGCUGGCGGCAUGCCUUACACAUGCAAGUCGAACGGCAGCACGGGUGCUUGCACCUGGUGGCGAGUGGCGAACGGGUGAGUAAUACAUCGGAACAUGUCCUGUAGUGGGGGAUAGCCCGGCGAAAGCCGGAUUAAUACCGCAUACGAUCUACGGAUGAAAGCGGGGGACCUUCGGGCCUCGCGCUAUAGGGUUGGCCGAUGGCUGAUUAGCUAGUUGGUGGGGUAAAGGCCUACCAAGGCGACGAUCAGUAGCUGGUCUGAGAGGACGACCAGCCAC